CCCCCCCCCCCCCCCCCCCCCAACCAAAUCUUCUUCGAUCCCAUUGCUAUGCUGAGGGAGGUCGACAAGAUCGACAGGAAGAUCGAGCGGAACAAAGAGGUGGGCCCAUCGGCUGGAGUUUUGGUUACUGUCAAGGAUAAUAUUUGUACGGUGGACGACGUCUGGGUCUAGGGUUCUGGAACGGUAUCGGCCGCCGUUUGAUGCCAUGGCGAUGAGGGAGUUGAGUGAGAGUGGGUCUAUUAUGGUUGGGAAGACUAAUUUGGAUGAGUUUGGGAUUGGGAGUACUACUGAUGCUUCUGCAUACCAGAGGCCAAGGGUGUUCGAAAAAGAUUGUGAGGGAGUGCAGGAUUUGUAUAGAAGAAGAUGAAGAGCAUGAGAUGGAGGCUCCCUGUGCGUGUAAUGGAACUCUAAAGAUGAAGG